UGGGGAAUUUUGCACAAUGGGGGAAACCCUGAUGCAGCGACGCCGCGUGAUUUAGAAGGCCUGCGGGUUGUAAAAAUCUUUUCUAUGGGAAGAAAAUGACAGUACCAUAGGAAUAAGGACCGGCUAAUUACGUGCCAGCAGCCGCGGUAAUACGUAAGGUCCGAGCGUUGUCCGGAAUCAUUGGGCGUAAAGGGUACGUAGGCGGGUAAGCAAGUUAGAAGUGAAAUCCUAUAGCUCAACUAUAGUAAGCUUUUAAAACUGCUCAUCUUGAGGUAUGGAAGGGAAAGUGGAAUUCCUAGUGUAGCGGUGAAAUGCGCAGAUAUUAGGAGGAAUACCGGUGGCGAAGGCGACUUUCUGGCCAUAACCUGACGCUGAGGUACGAAAGCGUGGGUAGCAAACAGG
rnacentral:rRNA from 1 species